CCCCCCGGGGAGGGACACCAAUGUGUGACAGAGUCACGUGACACCGCCGGGGGGGACACCAAUGUGUGACAGAGUCACGUGACACCACCGGGGGGGGGGGGGGGGGGGGGCCCGGCACUGUGACAACGUCACGUGACACCGCCGGGGACACCGAUGUGUGAUAACGUCACGUGACACCGCCGGGGGAAACCAACGUGCGAUGAGGUCACGUGACACCAACGGGGGAGGGGGCGCUGUGACAGCGUCACGUGACACCGCCGGGGACACCAAUGUGCGACGAGGUCACGUGAUACCGCCGGGGACACCAAUAUGCGAUGAGGUCACGUGACACCACCGAAGGGGGGGCGCUGUGACAGCGUCACGUGACUCCGCCGGGGACAUCAAUGUGUGAUGAGAUCACGUGACACCAACGGGGGAUACCAAUAUGCGAUGAGGUCACGUGACACCACCGGGUUUGGGGGGUGGGGGCUGUGACAGCGUCACGUGACACCGCCGGGGGGACCAACGUGUGAUAAAGUCACGUGAUACCGCCGGGGGACACCAAUAUGCGAUGAGGUCACGUGACACCGCCGGGGGACACCAAUGUGUCACCUCCGGACGUCGCUGUGCCCCAUAGCGCUACCCCUGUGCCCCAUAGCGCUGUCACUGUGCCCCAUAGCGCUGCCACUGUGCCCCAUAGAGCCACCGCUGUGCCCCAUAGCGCUGCCACUGCGCCCCAUAGCACCACCGCUGUGCCCCAUAGAGCCAUCACUGUGCCCCAUAGUGCUGUCACUGCGCCCCAUAGUGCUGCCACUGUGCCCCAUAGCGCUGCCACUGUGCCCCAUAGCACCACCGCUGUGCCCCAUAGAGCCAUCCCUGUGCCCCAUAGCGCCGUCACUGUGCCCCAUAGCGCUGCCACUGUGCCCCAUAGCGCCGCCACUGUGCCCCAUAGCGCUGCCACUGUGCCCCAUAGCGCUGCCACUGUGCCCCAUAGCACCACCGCUGUGCCCCAUAGAGCCAUCCCUGUGCCCCAUAGAGCCACCGCUGUGCCCCAUAGAGCCAUCCCUGUGCCCCAUAGCACUGCCACUGCUCCCCAUAGCGCUGCCACUGUGCCCCAUAGAGCCAUCCCUGUGCCCCAUAGCGCCACCACUGGGCCCCAUAGUGCCACCAUUCUGCCCUACAGAGCCACCCCUGUGCCCCAUAGCACUGUCACUGCGCCCCAUAGCACUUUCACUGCGCCUCAUAGAGCCAUCCCUGUGCCCCAUAGCACUGCCACUGCGCCCCAUAGCGCCGCCACUGUGCCCCAUAGAGCCAUCCCUGUGCCCCAUAGCGCUGCCACUGUGCCCCAUAGAGCCAUCCCUGUGCCCCAUAGCGCUGCCGCUGUGCCCCAUAGAGCCA
rnacentral:lncRNA from 1 species